GUUGGUUUCCUUCAUGAAAUAUUAAUAGGAGUUCCUCUUAAAAAAUGACUACUUUUUUUUUCAAGGCAGUGCCAGACCUAAAGACAUCUAAGAAAGUGGCAGCUAUAAAGUACUGUAUUUACAUGCAGUAAAUUAUUUACUGCAUGUAAUUCUUGUUCUAUUUACAGAUUUUGAACGGAAUUUUGAUGUACAGGUACUUUUCUUGCCUACAGCUGUAUCAGCAAUUAAUACUCCUUCUCCGAUUUACAGAAAGUCAUUUAAUCCGAAUCGGGACAAUAUGAAUGGAUAUGUUGUUUUCAAAGACAAACAAUCCGUGGAAAAAGCUUUAGCCAGGUGACUUUUUUUAUAGCCGUACAUAACUGUUCCAUGCAUGUCUGUCAGGGAUUUAAUAUACAGUCAAGUACUUUUCUACUGCCAGAAUCUUACGGUAAGAAAAAUUCAAGCUUCAAA
rnacentral:lncRNA from 1 species